rnacentral:rRNA from 1 species
UGAGUAACACGUGACUGACUACCCCGGAGUGGGGGAUAACUGAGGGAGACCUGGCGCAUACCGCAUAAUACUUAGGGGUCAGAGGGGCAAUUCGCUUGGGGAGGAGCUCGCGUCCGAUUAGCUAGUUGGUGGGGUAAUGGCUCACCAAGGCGAUGAUCGGUAUCUGGUCUGAGAGGGCGACUCGGACACACUGGGACUGAGACACGGUCCAGACUCCUACGGGAGGCAGCAGUGGGGUAAUAUUGCCGACACAUGGGGGCAAGCCUGAUGCAGCCACGCCGCGUGGAACGUGAUGCAAGGAUCCUUCGGUGACGUAAAGUCCUUUCGGAUCGGGCACGAUGUAUGCACGGCUACCGCGCUAGUAAGUAGCCCCG